AGGACGAACGCUGGCGGCGCGCCUAACACAUGCAAGUCGAACGAGCGAGAGAGAGCUUGCUUUCUCGAGCGAGUGGCGAACGGGUGAGUAACGCGUGAGGAGCCUGCCUCAAAGAGGGGGACAACAGUUGGAAACGACUGCUAAUACCGAAUAAGUUCCAAGAGCCGCAUGGCCCAUGGAAGAAAAGGUGGCCUCUACUUGUAAGCUAUCGCCUGAAGAGGGGUUUGCGUCUGAUUAGGCAGUUGGUGAGGUAACGGCCCACCAAACCUACGAUCAGUAGCCGGUCUGAGAGGAUGAACGGCCACACUGGAACUGAGACACGGUCCAGACUCCUACGGGAGGCAGCAGUGGGGAAUAUUGCACAAUGGGGGAAACCCUGAUGCAGCGACGCCGCGUGAGUGAUGAAGUAUUUCGGUAUGUAAAACUCUAUCAGCAGGGAAGAUAAUGACGGUACCUGACUAAGAAGCACCGGCUAAAUACGUG
rnacentral:rRNA from 1 species